GAUGAACGCUGGCGGCGUGCUUAACACAUGCAAGUCGAACGGAAAGGCUCCUGCUUGCAGGGGUACUCGAGUGGCGAACGGGUGAGUAACACGUGGGUGAUCUGCCCUGCACUUCGGGAUAAGCCUGGGAAACUGGGUCUAAUACCGGAUAGGACCACAUUUUGGAUGGUGUGGUGGAAAGUUUUUCGGUGUGGGAUGAGCUCGCGGCCUAUCAGCUUGUUGGUGGGGUAAUGGCCUACCAAGGCGUCGACGGGUAGCCGGCCUGAGAGGGUGUACGGCCACAUUGGGAGUGAGAUACGGCCCAGACUCCUACGGGAGGCAGCAGUGGGGAAUAUUGAACAAUGGGCGAAAGCCUGAUGCAGCGACGCCGAGUGGGGGAUGACGGCCUUCGGGUUGUAAACUCCUUUCGCUAGGGAAGAAGCGCAAGUGACGGUACCUGGAGAAGAAGCACCGGCUAACUACGUG
rnacentral:rRNA from 1 species